rnacentral:rRNA from 1 species
UUUUCCUACGGGACGCAGCAGUGGGGGAUAUUGCACAAUGGGGGGAACCCUGAUGCAGCGACGCCGCGUGGGUGAAGAAGCGCCUCGGCGCGUAAAGCCCUGUCAGCAGGGAAGAAAAUGACGGUACCUGAAGAAGAAGCCCCGGCUAACUACGUGCCAGCAGCCGCGGUAAUACGUAGGGGGCAAGCGUUAUCCGGAUUUACUGGGUGUAAAGGGGGCGCAGAUGGCGAUGCAAGCCAGGAGUGAAAGCCCGGGGCCCAACCCCGGGCCUGCUCUUGGAACUGCGUGGCUGGCGAGCAGGAGGG